ACAGGUUCUCACUAAGUUACCCAGACAGGCCUUGAACUUGAGAUCCUCCUGCCUCAGCCUCCUGAGUUGAUGUGCCACCAUGGCCAGCUUCCACCUUACAUUUAGACACCCACCCACAUGAAUACCCCUCAGGUGGAAAUGCUGGACAGUCCCCCCAACCCCGAAGGCCCCCGUCUCGCAGCCUCCCAACCACUACUCUGACUUCAGUCACUGUAGAUGAGUCUUUCCUGUCCUCGAUCAUAUAAAGGAAACCUGUGGCGCAUACUAAUCAGCAACAGUCUCUUUGUUGCAUGUUACACUGUGAGAGUGACGCGCGUAGCUCUACGCAGCUGAAGUUGAAUUGCGUGGUCGGACUCUGCCGGCAUUUCCACCCUGUCCUGCGGUUGGAGGGCACUCGGGCUGUUCUCAGUAGUUCUGGCAUUUUGAAUAAGGUUUCUCUGAACAGUUUUUAAAUAGACAUUUAUUGAAUUAGUGCCGUAUGCCAAGAGAUAUGGUAGAUGCUCCUAUGUGGGUCAUUGUUGUCCAGAGUCACUGGGCCCUAAGACGUGCUGGGGGACCUAGACCAUCUGGGGGUGCAUAACACAGCCUGCCUUCUUCACGUGUUUGAGUGCGCUGCCCAGCUCCCCAGCUCUCGCUUCCCAGGAUGAAGCUCUGUCCCCAGUCCACACCACUUGCUGUGCCCGGCCCCCCAGCACCUGGCCGCCCGUCUGCUUUCUGUCUCUAGGAACGGGGCCGCUCUCGGCCCCCGUGUGAGUGGAGUUCAAGCCGUGGUUGAGCCGUGGUUGGGACUCCUUCCUGCCGCGGUGCGUGUGUGCACCACAGUCGCGUGUCCAUCACGGAGGGGACCCUCGGUGGCUUCUGCCUUUUGCUGUGGCCAGCAGUGCAGCAGGAGCAGGGUGAACGGGCAUCUGCUUGGCUGGGUACAGACCCAGGAGUGCUGCCCGAGCGCUGGUCCUACGCCUGGCUCUCAGGGGAAGUGCUGCGUGCUUCCUACAGGACGUCCAGCUCCUCGCUCCACCAGGGCUUGGUGCCUGCCGAUUUUCCCGUUCUUUGUGCCGGCCACCCUAUCAGACGUGACGUCUCGUGUUCUGGUGUGAUUUGGCUAUGUUUUGUGCUGGGGAUUGGAUCCAGGGCUGCUCUACCUCUGAGCUGCACCCCGGCCCUUUUUAUUUUUUAUUUUUCGACAGGGUCCAGGAACAGGAUCUUAGACCUAAGAACACUCCCGUGCCUACCCUCGUGGGUGUGCUCACUCUCCCGGGGCAGGAGCUCAGCUUUCCUAGGGACCAGCAGCACCCCACGACUGUCCAGCCCUCUGUCCAGCGGGAGUCCCCGCUGGUCCUGCCUUCACCCACACUUGCUGUUGUCGAGGUCUCACAACUGGCCUUUCUAGAGGGACGCCACUUUUGGACAGGGCUCCUGCACUGGGUCCCAACAGACCAGGCUGAAAACCACAUGGAGUCACCCACGCUGAAGUUGUGUGUCAGCGACAGCUGUUUCCCUGACCUUCCAAGAAACCAGGAGAGAAAGAGCCACAUUUCUCAAACAGACCAGUUUCAGUGAGCAACAACAGAAGCCACCUCCAGCUACCCUAGGCAGGAAACAAAGUCGCCUCUUCCCUAAUCCUUAACGUAGAACAUGACCCAGAGAGGCCAGGGUGGACAACCUGUUGUUUUUCUCUUGUUCCGGCCCUGCCUUCCAAGUGACAUUGAGGUGACCAGUCCUCAUUCCUGCUCUGCCCAGCCCUUCCUGUCUGUAAACCAACUGCCCAUGCUCAGCCCACGGCACGCCGACUCUGUUUAUGCAGUGGGGUGAUGCCCAAUUCUGGAAACACAGAAUAAAGCCGAUGAGGAUCUUUAAAUUAAA